rnacentral:rRNA from 1 species
ACGGGAGGCCGCAGUGGGGGAUAUUGCACAAUGGGGGAAACCCUGAUGCAGCGACGCCGCGUGAGUGAAGAAGUAUUUCGGUAUGUAAAGCUCUUUAAGUUGGGAAGAUAAUGACGGUACCAACAGAAUAAGCCCCGGCUAACUACGUGCCAGCAGCCGCGAUAAUACGUAGGGGGCAAGCGUUAUCCGGAUUUACUGGGUGUAAAGGGAGCGUAGACGGCAAUGCAAGUCUGAAGUGAAAGCCCGUGGCUUAACUGCGGGACUGCUUUGGAAACUGUAUGGCUAGAGUGUCGGAGAGGUGAGUGGAAGUCCCAGUGUAGCGGUGAAAUGCGUAGAUAUUGGGAGGAACACCGGAGGCGAAGGCGGCUCACUGGACGAUUACUGACGUUGAGGCUCGAAAGCGUGGGGAGCAAACAGGAUUAGAUACCCUGGUA